rnacentral:tRNA from 1 species
UCCCUGGUGGCUCAGACAGUAAAGAAUCUGCCUGCAAUGCAGAAGACCCAGGUUUGAUCCCUGGGUUGGGAA